AUGACUGUACCCGAAUAAGAAGGUCCGGCUAACUUCGUGCCAGCAGCCGCGGUAAUACGAAGGGACCUAGCGUAGUUCGGAAUUACUGGGCUUAAAGAGUUCGUAGGUGGUUGAAAAAGUUGGUGGUGAAAUCCCAGAGCUUAACUCUGGAACUGCCAUCAAAACUUUUCAGCUAGAGUAUGAUAGAGGAAAGCAGAAUUUCUAGUGUAGAGGUGAAAUUCGUAGAUAUUAGAAAGAAUACCAAUUGCGAAGGCAGCUUUCUGGAUCAUUACUGACACUGAGGAACGAAAGCAUGGGUAGCGAAGAGGAUUAGAUACCCUCGUAGUCCAUGCCGUAAACGAUGUGUGUUAGACGUUGGAAAUUUAUUUUCAGUGUCGCAGCGAAAGCGAUAAACACACCGCCUGGGGAGUACGACCGCAAGGUUAAAACUCAAAUGAAUUGACGGGGACCCGCACAAGUAGUGGAGCAUGUGGUUUAAUUCGAAGAUACGCGCAGAACCUUACCAACACUUGACAUGUUCGUCGCGACUUUAAGAGAUUAAAGUUUUCGGUUCGGCCGGACGAAACACAGGUGCUGCAUGGCUGUCGUCAGCUCGUGUCGUGAGAUGUUGGGUUAAGUCCCGCAACGAGCGCAACCCUCACUUUUAGUUGCCAUCAUUAAGUUGGGCACUCUGAAAGAACUGCCAGUGAUAAGCUGGAGGAAGGUGGGGAUGACGUCAAGUCCUCAUGGCCCUUACGUGUUGGGCUACACACGUGCUACAAUGGUAUCUACAACAGGAAGCAAGACGGCGACGUUAAGCAAAUCCUUAAAAGAUACCUCAGUUCGGAUUGCACUCUGCAACUCGAGUGCAUGAAGCUGGAAUUACUAGUAAUCGUGGAUCAGCGUGCCACGGUGAAU
rnacentral:rRNA from 1 species